UGGGGAAUCUUGCGCAAUGGCCGAAAGGCUGACGCAGCGACGCCGCGUGUGGGAGGACGCCUUUCGGGGUGUAAACCACUGUUGCCCGGGACGAACACGGCUAUUCGUAGCCGCUGACGGUACCGGGUGAGGAAGCACCGGCUAACUCCGUGCCAGCAGCCGCGGUAAUACGGAGGGUGCGAGCGUUGUCCGGAAUCAUUGGGCGUAAAGGGCGCGUAGGUGGCCCGGUCAGCGUGCGGUGAAAGCUCGGGGGCUCAAA
rnacentral:rRNA from 1 species